rnacentral:rRNA from 1 species
GACAGAGGAUGCAAGCGUUAUCCGGAAUGAUUGGGCGUAAAGCGUCUGUAGGUGGUUUAUUAAGUCUACUGUUAAAGAUCAGGGCUUAACCCUGAGCAGGCAAUAGAAACUAAUAAGCUAGAGUACGGUAGGGGCAGAGGGAAUUCCCGGUGUAGCGGUGAAAUGACGUAGAGAUCGGGAAGAACACCAACGGCGAAAGCACUCUGCUGGGCCGAAACUGACACUGAGAGACGAAAGCUAGGGGAGCAAAUGGG